GGACGAUGAGAUCGCAGGCUUUGGGACAGGAAAUUAUGUCAAGAUCAACGAGGAUGAGAAAAAAAGGACGAAAGAUGCAAUCAUAAAGGGGAUGGAAGGGCUU
rnacentral:ribozyme from 16 species